AUACUUACCUGACCAGGAAGAUUCCAUGAUCAUGAAGGUGGUUUUCCCAGGAUGAGGCUUAUCCAUUGCACUCCAGAUGUGCUGACCCUUGAAAUUUCCCCAGAUACAGGAAACUUGACUGCAUUGA
ensembl:snRNA RNU1-101P RNA, U1 small nuclear 101, pseudogene